GAUGAACGCUGGCGGCGUGCUUAACACAUGCAAGUCGAACGAUGAUGCCCAGCUUGCUGGGUGGAUUAGUGGCGAACGGGUGAGUAACACGUGAGUAACCUGCCCUUGACUCUGGGAUAAGCCUGGGAAACUGGGUCUAAUACCGGAUACGACCAUCUGGCGCAUGUCAUGGUGGUGGAAAGCUUUUGUGGUUUUGGAUGGACUCGCGGCCUAUCAGCUUGUUGGUGGGGUAAUGGCCUACCAAGGCGACGACGGGUAGCCGGCCUGAGAGGGUGACCGGCCACACUGGGACUGAGACACGGCCCAGACUCCUACGGGAGGCAGCAGUGGGGAAUAUUGCACAAUGGGCGCAAGCCUGAUGCAGCGACGCCGCGUGAGGGGUGACGGCCUUCGGGUUGUAAACCUCUUUCAGUAGGGAAGAAGCGAAAGUGACGGUACCUGCAGAAGAAGCGCCGGCUAACUACGUG
rnacentral:rRNA from 1 species